rnacentral:rRNA from 1 species
CCUACGGGUGGCAGCAGUCGAGAAUCAUUCACAAUGGGGGAAACCCUGAUGGUGCGACGCCGCGUGGGGGAAUGAAGGUCUUCGGAUUGUAAACCCCUGUCAUGUGGGAGCAAAUUAAAAAGAUAGUACCACAAGAGGAAGAGACGGCUAACUCUGUGCCAGCAGCCGCGGUAAUUCAGAGGUCUCAUGCGUUGUUCGGAAUCACUGGGCGUAAAGGGUGCGUAGGCUGUUUCGUAAGUCGUGUGUGAAAGGCGCGGGCUCAACCCGCGGACGGCACAUGAUACUGCGAGACUAGAGUAAUGGAGGGGGAACCGGAAUUCGCGGUGUAGCAGUGAAAUGCGUAGAUAGCGAGAGGAACACUCGUGGCGAAGGCGGGUUCCUGGACAUUAACUGACGCUGAGGCACGAAGGCCAGGGGAGCGAAAGGGAUUAGAUACCCCAGUAGUC